UGUGAGUUUAAUCCCAGCUCGCUUUUUCUGUUGAUAGGAAGCCGCACAUGAAAACUUAUGUGAAAUAAAACUAAAACAUUAGAAUAAAGGUUUAUAAAAAUUCAGUGUAAAAUUUUAUACAAUAAAUGAAAAUUUGAUAUAGAUAUCCUAGAGAAUCCAGUCUAAAUCUAGUGCCAGCAGACGCGGUUAAACUAGGUGGAUAAAUAGAAAUAAAGCAAGAGGAAAGUAAGGAGUUAUUAAUUUAGUAAUAAUUUUAAUUACCAAGCAAUAGUAGGUAAAAUUAGUAGUUGCUUUGUUGAUUAAAAAAGAUUUAAUUGAAUUCAAUACUUUGAAAGUUUAGAUAGAAAAUAGGAUUAGAUACCCUAGUAUUCUUUAACAGAAAAAAGGUCUCUUAGAUAGUAAUAGUUAUGGUCUUGAAAACUAAGGGAUUUGGCGGUAUUUUAUCCAAUUAGAGGAACCUGUCGCUUAAUUCGAUAGUCCACGAAGAAAUUGCACUCACUCUUGUUCAUGAUCAGCUUGUACACCGUCAUCUUCAGAGGAGUUCGAUAGAAUUUCAUCUCAAGUCUUUAUAAAAGAAGAAAGUUAGAUCCAGGCGCAGCUAAUGAGUGAGGGUUAGAUGGGUUACAAUAUGAGUAAAAUAAAAAAAAUAAACAUGCGGAUGAGUCUCUGAAAAGGGCUCUGAAGACGGAUUUAAUAGUAAGUCUGAAAUUUAAUAAGGCAGAUUGAAAAGGGCUCUGAGAUGUGUACAAAUUGCCCGUCGCUUUCAUGGAACAUGGAAUAAGUCGUAACAUAGUAGGUGUACCGGAAGGUGCACCUAGAAAGUA
rnacentral:ncRNA from 1 species